rnacentral:rRNA from 1 species
GAUGAACGCUGGCGGCGUGCCUAAUACAUGCAAGUCGAGCGAACGGACGAGAAGCUUGCUUCUCUGAUGUUAGCGGCGGACGGGUGAGUAAAACGUGGAUAACCUACCUAUAAGACUGGGAUAACUUCGGGAAACCGUAGCUAAUACCGGAUAAUAUUUUGAACCGCAUGGUUCAAAAGUGAAAGACGGUCUUGCUGUCACUUAUAGAUGGAUCCGCGCUGCAUUAGCUAGUUGGUAAGGUAACGGCUUACCAAGGCAACGAUGCAUAGCCGACCUGAGAGGGUGAUCGGCCACACUGGAACUGAGACACGGUCCAGACUCCUACGGGAGGCAGCAGUAGGGAAUCUUCCGCAACGGGCGAAAGCCUGACGGAGCAACACCGCGUGAGUGAUGAAGGUCUUCGGAUCGUAAAACUCUGUUAUUAGGGAAGAACAUAUGUGUAAGUAACUGUGCACAUCUUGACGGUACCUAAUCAGAAAGCCACGGCUAACUACGUG